CAGCACAGAAUGAGAAAGCUACAUCCUUUCCAGUACAGAUGCAAGAGAAAAGUAUCCUUGCCCUUUCUGUCUGUCUGAUUGUGGCAGACAUGAUUGAAUGGGGGAAUACAGGG
rnacentral:snoRNA from 1 species